AACGAACGCUGGCGGCAUGCCUAACACAUGCCAGUCGAACGAGACCUUCGGGUCUAGUGGCGCACGGGUGCGUAACGCGUGGGAACCUGCCCUUAGGUUCGGAAUAACUCCCCGAAAGGGGUGCUAAUACCGGAUAAUGUCUUCGGACCAAAGAUUUAUCGCCUUUGGAUGGGCCCGCGUUGGAUUAGCUAGUUGGUAGGGUAAAAGCCUACCAAGGCGACGAUCCAUAGCUGGUCUGAGAGGAUGAUCAGCCACACUGGGACUGAGACACGGCCCAGACUCCUACGGGAGGCAGCAGUGGGGAAUAUUGGACAAUGGGCGAAAGCCUGAUCCAGCAAUGCCGCGUGAGUGAUGAAGGCCUUAGGGUUGUAAAGCUCUUUUACCCGGGAUGACAAUGACAGUACCGGGAGAAUAAGCUCCGGCUAACUCCGUG
rnacentral:rRNA from 1 species